GCCAAUGUGGCAUAGUGGUUUAAGAGCUGGACUACAACUCUGAAGAUCAGGGUUCGAUUCCCAACUUGGCCA